rnacentral:misc_RNA from 1 species
CUAAGGAUAUAUGGAGCAGCGUGCGUUUUCGUCUUGUUUAGUUUUGAAGGAUCAUUCCUUCAAACAUGUCUCUAGCGAGACAGGAUUGUUCUUUGAAAACUAGAUAACAAUAAGUAAUACAUUCACAUUGAAUGCAAUGCAAAGUUCAUCACACAUAGUGAUUCUUUCUAAAGUAAGAAAU